GCACCCCUGGGGGACAGAUGGGUAGCCGCUGCCGCCAGCUAACUCGGCUGCUCCCAAAG
ensembl:miRNA Mir6941 microRNA 6941